UGGCUUCAAGGGCUGCAGGGACAGCCCCGCUUCUUCCAAAGGCUCUCCGAGUUUGGUGUCCAGCAGCAGCCGGGAGAGUCCCAGAGUUUCAAAUGCUUUCAGAUCUCACCUUAUUAAGGUCUUAGAAACAUCAUCCUUCUCCGAAGUGAUAACCUGUCUACCAAGGAGGGCGUGUAGACAAUGUCAGCUCUCUGACUGACGGGUCCUUGUGAGUGUGAACAAAAGCCACCCAGGCACCUGCUCGUCUCCAGGUGGUGGGCAUGGCCACCAACAAAACCUGCCCCCGCGCUGCUGUCUGGGUGCUAUUUCAGGAAUGACCAGGAAUUGGCUGCUCCGACGGCAGAGCAGGGACCCACCCAGAGAUGCCGUGUCACCUCCACGGUGAGCUCAUCGACACUUACUGUGCGUGCGGACGGGAGUUUACGACAUCUGUAUCAUACCUCGUUCUCAACCUUUACACUCACUUGAAUAUGAGACUUUAAAAGAAAUGACUUCCCUUUUGAGAGAGUUGAGAAAAGUUCCGAAAAGAACACAGGGGAAGUUGAUGAGACUAUCGGGUGACUCAAUUCCCGGGAAUUAGCUGAGUUUUCCUGGUGGGUCGUCCAUCGUAGGUGCAAAUGCGGUUCCCAAAGUCUUCCUGGCUGAGGUCAGAGCAAAACGUGUGUGUGUGUGUGUUUGGCAUUUGACUUCAUUCAAAGUUGCUUUUUGAGAAGAGUUGUGACCCUACAUACAGGGCAUCUUGUGGGCAAGGCUCUGUGAUGAGAUAGGAUGUGACUCAGGCUUCAAUUCUCAUAACAAAACUGUAACGUGGAAACCUCCCUCUGAGUACCUGGAACAUGGGGUUCCCCUCUCAACCAGCGACCUGCGUUCGUCCUCGAGAGCCUGGAGUCUGGAGUCAGACAGCCUGGAGCUGGACACUCACUUCUGCCACAUACCACAGGCAACAUUUAACACAUCUGUUCCUGGGUCUUUUCAUUUGUAAAACGGGUAUAUGAUAGUAUGUACCCACAGGGUGGUGAAGAUUCAGCAGCCUUCAUCGAGUAAAAAGGCAAUUCCAAAGGUCGUUGCAAGAUUGCAAUCCAGACACAUGUGCUGCUCUGUGUGGGAGGAUGACUGACCGGCGCCUGGAGGAAUGAGCUGGCUUCACCCGAGGGGGACCCUUCCGGGCCAGUUGAAGGCGGUAAGACGCCUGGGACCAGCUGCAGGCAUUUGCUUGGUCCCGCCUUCUACGGAGGAAAAAGGAUUUUUUUUCAUUUAGUGUGAAAAAUACUCCAAUACCACCAGACUGUGUUAAAAUAAUCAGAUUGAUGGAAUGGAUUUUAAAUUAAGUUUUGAGUAAUAAACCUCUAUGUUAUUUCCUCCGCUGUCAAUCAGCA
rnacentral:lncRNA from 1 species